AAACCCCUGUGCACUUUAACGGUGGAGGGCGUCUCUGGCGAGAGCCGGGCGUCGGAAGCCGUGCCUUUACAAACUCGAACUUCUUAACAGAAUGAACUGCGGCCUUAGCGUCGCCUAACAAACGAAACAACUUUCAACAACGGAUCUCUUGGCUCUCGCAUCGAUGAAGAACGCAGCGAAAUGCGAUAAGUAAUGUGAAUUGCAGAAUUCAGUGAAUCAUCGAAUCUUUGAACGCACCUUGCGCUCCUUGGUAUUCCGAGGAGCAUGCCUGUUUGAGUGUCUUGAAGUCAUCAACCCCGAACGUUUCUUGCGGAGCGUGUGCGGCGGUUGGAUCUGGGGGCUCUGCCGAUCGUCCGCGAGCCGGCUCCCCUCAAAUGCUUCGGUUGGGCCUGUGGGUCGAACUCGACUGGGCGUUGUACCAUCCUCGCUCGAACAAGAGGGACCCCUCUUGCGCCCUUCCUCGACCAGCCCCUCUGACGGGCGGUCAAUCAAGCUUUGAAAUCUGACCUCAAAUCAGGUAGGACUACCCGCUGAACUUAAGCAUAUCAAUAAGCGGAGGA
rnacentral:rRNA from 1 species